AUACAAAUUACUGGGGGAGCUGGUGAAGAUGUGGAUUCUGUCUGAGAAGGAGCCUGAGAUUCUGCAUUUCUAACAAGUUCCCAGGUGAUGCUACU
rnacentral:pre_miRNA from 1 species